rnacentral:rRNA from 1 species
GACGAACGCUGGCGGCGUGCUUAACACAUGCAAGUCGAACGAAGAGCGCUGGCAGCUUGCUUGUGUCCAAGUUGGGAACGGACGGGUAAGUAGCGAGUAAUCAACCCGCCAUUCUGGGGUGGACACCAGUAGGAAACGACUGCUAAUACCGCAUACGCUCUCAUCUCGGCAUGGGGGAGAGAGGAAAGGUGGCCUCUACAGGUAAGCUAGCACUGAAGGAUGGGAGUGCGUCUGUUGGGUAAGUUGGAGGGGAAGGGGACCAGGAAGGCGAUGAUCAGUAGUCGGUCUGAGAUGAUGGGCAGCCAGAUUGGGACUGAGGCACGGCCCAGUGUCCUACGGGAGGCAGCAGUGGGGAAUCUGCCGCAAUGGACGAGAGUCUGACGGAGCAACGCCGCGUGAGUGAUGACGGCCGUCGGGUUGUGGAGCUCUGUCAUUCGGGACGAAAGGCCUUCUGGCUAAUAGUGAGAAUGAGUGACGGUACCGGGAUAGGAAGCCACGGCUAACUACGUG